rnacentral:rRNA from 1 species
UUUUGGACAAUGGGCGCAAGCCUGAUCCAGCCAUGCCGCGUGCGGGAAGAAGGCCUUCGGGUUGUAAACCGCUUUUGUCAGGGAAGAAACGCGCUGAGCUAAUACCUCGGCGUAAUGACGGUACCUGAAGAAUAAGCACCGGCUAACUACGUGCCAGCAGCCGCGGUGACACGUAGGCACCAAGCGUUGUCCGGAUUUAUUGGGCGUAAAGAGCUCGUAGGCGGUUCGGUAAGUCGGGUGUGAAAACUUUGGGCUCAACCCAAAGCGUGCACUCGAUACUGCUGUGACUAGAGUUCGGUAGGGGAGUGGGGAAUUCCUAGUGUAGCGGUGAAAUGCGCAGAUAUUAGGAGGAACACCGGUGGCGAAGGCGCCACUCUGGGCCGAAACUGACGCUGAGGAGCGAAAGCGUGGGUAGCAAAC